GUGUAAGCCUCUAAGCUCCCUGCGAUGGACACCCUCAUAUUGCCUUCUCAGAACUAUGAACUUAGUAGACACUUGACUGUCUGAACUCACCUGAAAUAGAGAUGGUUCCUGCCAGAUCCAGAAUUCUAAAUUGCAGAUGACACCAAGACUUUGUUCCCUUUCAGCUAAGACCCAGGAAGCAAGCUGCGCCUGGCAUAACAACAAUCCUUUGAGGCUCACCCUCUGGAUGAUCUCAG